rnacentral:rRNA from 1 species
UGGGGAAUAUUGGACAAUGGGGGAAACCCUGAUCCAGCCAUGCCGCGUGUGUGAAGAAGGCCUUUUGGUUGUAAAGCACUUUAAGCAGUGAAGAAGACUCCAUGGUUAAUACCCAUGGACGAUGACAUUAGCUGCAGAAUAAGCACCGGCUAACUCUGUGCCAGCAGUCGCGGUAAUACAGAGGGUGCAAGCGUUAAUCGGAAUUACUGGGCGUAAAGGGAGCGUAGGUGGCUCUAUAAGUCAGAUGUGAGAUCCCCGGGCUUAACCUGGGAACUGCAUCUGAAACUGUAGAGCUAGAGUAUGUGAGAGGAAGGUAGAAUUCCAGGUGUAGCGGUGAAAUGCGUAGAGAUCUGGAGGAAUACCGAUGGCGAAGGCAGCCUUCUGGCAUAAUACUGACACUGAGGCUCGAAAGCGUGGGUAGCAAACAG